CAGCAGCCGCGGGAAAACGUAGGGUGCAAGCGUUAAUCGGAAUUACUGGGCGUAAAGCGUGCGCAGGCGGUUAUAUAAGUCAGAUGUGAAAUCCCCGGGCUCAACCUGGGAACUGCAUUUGAGACUGUAUGGCUAGAGUGUGUCAGAGGGGGGUAGAAUUCCACGUGUAGCAGUGAAAUGCGUAGAGAUGUGGAGGAAUACCGAUGGCGAAGGCAGCCCCCUGGGCCAAUACUGACGCUCAUGCACGAAAGCGUGGAGAGCAAACAGGAUUAGAUACCCGAGUAGUCCCUGUCUCUUAUAC
rnacentral:rRNA from 1 species